CGGUUAUUUACGGUUUUUAAUUAUCAAGCACAACCCGUUUCUUCACGAGCUGGGCUAAUCACAGUCUUGUCUUUGAUAUACUGCUUUCGGGGACUUGAAGGUAUUAUGGCUUUAUUAUCAAACCCCAAAUAGAGUCCCAGUAAAUUACCUUCCUUUUUGUGGCAUUCCGGUGACUCCAAGAGGGGAGAGGGUCACCGGGAUUGAUCGCCACGGAGGUUCUUUCAGGGGAGACAGGGCUGGAAUAGAUGCUUCUUUAAACGUUCUUCUUUAUCCAUUCAUAUACUGGCUGGGUGCCCACAAACAUAUUUGAUUGAAAUGUGUCUGCAAAGGAACAAAAUACAUGUAGUGUAACUGUUUGAUCCAUCCCGUCCACUGAACCUAUUACACAACUCUGAAGCUUGAACAAUUCUCUUUACCCUUUGUAUUACACAUACACCAAAUUUUAC
rnacentral:lncRNA from 1 species